AUCCAGCUGACGAGUCCCAAAUAGAACGAAAUGCACAUCCUGGAU
rfam:Trichobilharzia regenti genome assembly, scaffold: TRE_scaffold0007945